GUUGCUAUAAAUAAGGCUUGUCUCACAGUGGAAGCGUUUACGCGCGAACUGAAAUACGCAUGUUAACGUCAGAAAUUGUACGUCCGUAUACGCACAAAUCGCAUUCGCACAUUAGCUGCGUAUCCAUCAUGAGCUGAGCAACUGUUCACAAGCACAAUUGUCUACAACCUGCGAAUUCGCAUAAAAAUCCGAACAAAAUGGGAUCGGUUCGCAAGUCGCAAUUAAACGCACGUAUACGGACGAUUUAUCAAUCGCUAAUGUGCGAAGGUCCAUUUGAAAUCGUACGUUUGAAUAGUUCGUCCAUAAACGUACGUAUUCGUACGAAUCCCAGUUCGCGCGUAAACGCUUCCACUGUGAGACAAGCCUUAUCCUGAACAUGUGUGAUUAGCUUAGCUCAUCAGAACACACGUCAUGUUCUCACCUUCCUGGAGACAAACGAGAUCGACGUCAAUGGCGACUUAAAAUCAGACAUGUAUGAUGCAUGCAUUAAUGGAAAAAUGCACCGU